CGACGUGAGUAACCUGCCUUGGAGUGGGGAAUAACAGCUGGAAACGGCUGCUAAUACCGCAUAAUGCAGUUGGGUCGCAUGGCUCUGACUGCCAAAGAUUUAUCGCUCUGAGAUGGACUCGCGUCUGAUUAGCUGGUUGGCGGGGUAACGGCCCACCAAGGCGACGAUCAGUAGCCGGACUGAGAGGUUGGCCGGCCACAUUGGGACUGAGACACGGCCCAGACUCCUACGGAAGGCAGCAG
rnacentral:rRNA from 1 species